ACACUGAUGGUGAAACGGUAUCAUGCUUGCCUUCCAUCAGGUUUAGCAAGCGGCGUGGGUUCGACUCCCGCUCAGUGUA
rnacentral:tRNA from 1 species